UAGGGAAUCUUCGGCAAUGGACGGAAGUCUGACCGAGCAACGCCGCGUGAGUGAAGAAGGUUUUCGAAUCGUAAAGCUCUGUUGUAAGAGAAGAACGAGUGUGAGAGUGGAAAGUUCACACUGUGACGGUAUCUUACCAGAAAGGGACGGCUAACUACGUGCCAGCAGCCGCGGUAAUACGUAGGUCCCGAGCGUUGUCCGGAUUUAUUGGGCGUAAAGCGAGCGCAGGCGGUUAGAUAAGUCUGAAGUUAAAGGCUGUGGCUUAACCAUAGUAGGCUUUGGAAACUGUUUAACUUGAGUGCAAGAGGGGAGAGUGGAAUUCCAUGUGUAGCGGUGAAAUGCGUAGAUAUAUGGAGGAACACCGGUGGCGAAAGCGGCUCUCUGGCUUGUAACUGACGCUGAGGCUCGAAAGCGUGGGGAGCAAACAGGAUUAGAUACCCUGGUAGUCCACGCUGUAAACGAUGAGUGCUAGGUGUUAGACCCUUUCCGGGGUUUAGUGCCGUAGCUAACGCAUUAAGCACUCCGCCUGGGGAGUACGACCGCAAGGUUG
rnacentral:rRNA from 1 species